rnacentral:lncRNA from 1 species
AUGUCAAACUAUUCAAAUAUCAGUACUUGUCAUGCCACUUGUUAUUUGAUUAUGAUCUACAUAAGCAUAAACCUAACACCCAUUCAAUGACAAAUCUUAAUGUUUGUCUGAGAAGAAAACAUUUAAAACUUACAUGAUUUGUAGAUUAUGCAGUCUUGAAAUGUCUUUCGGCAAGAAACCUUUCAGGCCUUGAUUGUCAAGACCACUUCCAUCAAUGACCCAAUUGCCGCUACUUUUGUCUAAUUGGCAAUCCACUCCGAUCCACGGAUGUUGUUGAGGAACACAUGGAUCACCAUUCCACCCAAACCUGGGAGGAAGCCCCAAAUCCUUCUUCAAUCUUUGUAAAGCC